rnacentral:rRNA from 1 species
AUGAGAGUUUGAUCCUGGCUCAGGACGAACGCUGGCGGCGUGCCUAAUACAUGCAAGUCGAACGCUUCUUUCCUCCCGAGUGCUUGCACUCAAUUGGAAAGAGGAGUGGCGGACGGGUGAGUAACACGUGGGUAACCUACCCAUCAGAGGGGGAUAACACUUGGAAACAGGUGCUAAUACCGCAUAACAGUUUAUGCCGCAUGGCAUAAGAGUGAAAGGCGCUUUCGGGUGUCGCUGAUGGAUGGACCCGCGGUGCAUUAGCUAGUUGGUGAGGUAACGGCUCACCAAGGCCACGAUGCAUAGCCGACCUGAGAGGGUGAUCGGCCACACUGGGACUGAGACACGGCCCAGACUCCUACGGGAGGCAGCAGUAGGGAAUCUUCGGCAAUGGACGAAAGUCUGACCGAGCAACGCCGCGUGAGUGAAGAAGGUUUUCGGAUCGUAAAACUCUGUUGUUAGAGAAGAACAAGGACGUUAGUAA